UACGGAGGGUGCGAGCGUUGUCCGGAAUCAUUGGGCGUAAAGGGCGCGUAGGUGGCCCGGUCAGUUCGUGGUGAAAGCGCGGGGCUCAACCCUGCGUCGGCCAUGAAUACUGCCGCGGCUGGAGCACUGUAGAGGCAGGCGGAAUUCCGGGUGUAGCGGUGGAAUGCGUAGAGAUCCGGAAGAACACCGGUGGCGAAGGCGGCCUGCUGGGCAGUUGCUGACACUGAAGCGCGACAGCGUGGGGAGCAAACAGG
rnacentral:rRNA from 1 species